rnacentral:lncRNA from 1 species
AGUCACGAUGCCAUGUUCGUAUAAAGGUACACUGAGGAGAGAGAUGCGUGGUCUGCAGCCCUCCAGCCUCCAGCCAUCUCCACCCUGUGAAAGGGUAGUGAUGGGUUGACAAGCACCAGUUGACAGAGAGUCAAAUUAUCAACAAGAUUUAAAAAAAUAAAAUCAUCCCAGCACCUCUUCCUGAGAAGACCAACGGGAAGAGCUCACAGCUCACAGACGAAGACUACUCUAUACCUCAAGAGUUUCUGCUGGAAAUAUAGUUUGCAAACUGGAAAUCCGGGGUGCGACAACAUUGGAAGACAGGUAAAACAACAGAGCCCAUCACCAUCCUUACUUCUGGUUCUGCUGCCUCCACCAAGCUGUCAUGGUAGAGGUUAACAAAGACAGAAAAGCUGGACAUGGUCCAAAUAGAGUGGAAACUGUGAAGCUCUGACGCUGCAGGUGCCUCAGCCAGAAAGGACGUUCUCAGCACCCUACAAACAGGCCUGUGCUUGCCAGAAAACUCAAGGCCGUAGAAAUGACAAAACACGAUCACCAACAAGGUGCUGCUGAACUUUCAGAAAGAAGUAUCACAAGAAAGUUCAACAUAGAGACGUUUCCACAGUCACAAUCCAUUCUUCAUGUGCCAGAAAUAAAUGUGAACUGUCACCCCGAUUCUUCUUCAUGUAUCCAGAAUACAUGUGACUCAUCACCCCUUCUGACUGGCAUCUAUUCAUGUGGAAUGUAAGGCUGUCUCCUAAGGAACCUAUAGCAGCAACUUCCGUAACAGCCAUUGAGAGUAACAGAAAGUAAAAGGGCAAUAGCUGGGUCAAAGGGGACCUAGUUCACUGAGGAAUCUCCAGACUGAUCUCCACAGUGGUUGCACCAAUCUGUACCCCACCAACAGUGCAGAGUUUCCUUUUUUUCCCUAUGAUGAGUAUGAUCAUCAUGUAUAUCUAAAAUGUACCAAUAAACUUAAUAAAAACAAAAAAAAGGAAAAAGAAAGUAAGGUAAGAUGG